rnacentral:rRNA from 1 species
UACGUAGGGUGCGAGCGUUGUCCGGAAUUAUUGGGCGUAAAGGGCUCGUAGGUGGCCAACUAAGUCAGACGUGAAAUCCCCAGGCUCAACUUGGGAACUGCGUCUGAUACUGGAUGGCUUGAAUUCGGGAGAGGGAUGCAGAAUUCCAGGUGUAGCGGUGAAAUGCGUAGAUAUCUGGAGGAAUACCAAUGGCGAAGGCAGCUCGCUGGGACGUGACUGACGCUGAGACGCGAAAGCGUGGGGAGCAAACAGG